rnacentral:tRNA from 1 species
CGCGGGAUGGAGCAGUCUGGUAGCUCGUCGGGUUCAUAACCCGAAGGUCGUUGGUUCAAAUCCAGCUCCCGCAACCA